rnacentral:rRNA from 1 species
UUGUUGGUGGGGUAAUGGCCUACCAAGGCGACGAUCGGUAGCGGGUCUGAGAGGAUGAUCCGCCACACUGGAACUGAGACACGGUCCAGACUCCUACGGGAGGCAGCAGUGGGGAAUUUUGGACAAUGGGGGCAACCCUGAUCCAGCCAUUCCGCGUGAGUGAAGAAGGCCUUCGGGUUGUAAAGCUCUUUCAGCUGGAACGAAACGGUACGCCUUAAUACGGUGUGCUAAUGACGGUACCAGCAGAAGAAGCACCGGCUAACUACGUGCCAGCAGCCGCGGUAAUACGUAGGGUGCGAGCGUUAAUCGGAAUUACUGGGCGUAAAGCGUGCGCAGGCGGAUUGUUAAGCAAGAUGUGAAAUCCCCGGGCUUAACCUGGGAAUGGCAUUUUGAACUGGCAGUCUAGAGUGUGUCAGAGGGGGGUGGAAUUCCACGUGUAGCAGUGAAAUGCGUAGAUAUGUGGAGGAACACCAAUGGCGAAGGCAGCCCCCUGGGAUAACACUGACGCUCAUGUACGAAAGCGUGGGUAGCAAACAGGAUUAGAUACCCUGGUAGUCCACGCCCUAAACGAUGUCAACUGGUUGUUGGGGGAGUGAAAUCCCUUAGUAACGAAGCUAACGCGUGAAGUUGACCGCCUGGGGAGUACGGUCGCAAGAUUAAAACUCAAAGGAAUUGACGGGGACCCGCACAAGCGGUGGAUGAUGUGGAUUAAUUCGAUGCAACGCGAAAAACCUUACCUACCCUUGACAUGUCCAGAAUCCUGCAGAGAUGCGGGAGUGCCCGAAAGGGAAUUGGAACACAGGUGCUGCAUGGCUGUCGUCAGCUCGUGUCGUGAGAUGUUGGGUUAAGUCCCGCAACGAGCGCAACCCUUAUCAUUAGUUGCUACGCAAGGGCACUCUAAUGAGACUGCCGG